UACGUAGGGGGCGAGCGUUGUCCGGAAUUACUGGGCGUAAAGGGCACGCAGGCGGUGCAUCAAGUCAGCUGUAAAAGGAUGCGGCUUAACCGUAUUAUGCAGCUGAGACUGAAGUACUGGAGUGCUGGAGAGGCAAGUGGAAUUCCCAGUGUAGCGGUGAAAUGCGUAGAUAUUGGGAAGAACAUCGGUGGCGAAGGCGACUUGCUGGCCAGUAACUGACGCUGAGGUGCGAAAGCCAGGGUAGCAAACG
rnacentral:rRNA from 1 species